rnacentral:rRNA from 1 species
ACUCCUACGGGAGGCAGCAGUGGGGAAUAUUGGACAAUGGGCGCAAAGCCUGAUCCAGCCAUGCGCGUGUGUGAAGAAGGCCUUCGGGUUGUAAAGCACUUUCAGCGAGGAGGAAGGUGUUGUGUUAAUAGCACAGCAUUUUGACGUUACUCGCAGAAGAAGCACCGGCUAACUCCGUGCCAGCAGCCGCGGUAAUACGGAGGGUGCGAGCGUUAAUCGGAAUUACUGGGCGUAAAGCGCAUGCAGGUGGUUUGUUAAGUCAGAUGUGAAAGCCCGGGGCUCAACCUCGGAAUAGCAUUUGAAACUGGCAGACUAGAGUACUGUAGAGGGGGUAGAAUUUCAGGUGUAGCGGUGAAAUGCGUAGAGAUCUGAAGGAAUACCGGUGGCGAAGGCGGCCCCCUGGACAGAUACUGACACUCAGAUGCGAAAGCGUGGGGAGCAAACAGGAUUAGAUACCCU